UCCCGCGCUUUAAUUGGUUGGGCCUGCCAGGAGAACGCUUCCUGCGGGUCUGUAACGCGGAGCCCCUGGCUGCGCUGCGAUUGGCUCGCGGGCUGCGGCGACGCAGACGCUAAGCGCUGACGACGAGGGCGGGGAUUGGCCGGCCAGCCCGGCCGGGUGGUGAAGUGUGCAGUUUGGAUUGGCCGCCGAUCUGCGCCGCGCUGGGCGCCCAUUGGUCCGCGCCGCUCGCCGGGCUCAGCUUCAUGUCCAUGGCUACCGGCGAGUGAGUCCUGCGCCACGGUCCGGUCCCGCUAUGUCCCGCCGCGCGCUCGGCCGCCUCUGUCUGCUGCUGCUCUGCCUGCUCGGGGAGGCCACCGCUGGGAGGGAUUUCUAUAAGAUUCUGGGGGUGUCGCGCAGCGCAUCAAUAAAAGAUAUUAAAAAAGCUUAUCGGAAACUAGCCCUGCAGCUUCAUCCAGAUCGCAACCCCGACGAUCCACGCGCACAAGAGAAGUUCCAGGACCUGGGUGCAGCCUAUGAGGUACUGUCAGAUGAGGAAAAGAGAAAGCAGUAUGACACAUAUGGUGAAGAAGGAUUGAAAGACGGGCACCAGAGCUCCCAUGGAGAUAUCUUCUCACACUUUUUUGGGGACUUUGGCUUCAUGUUCGGAGGAAAUCCUCGUCAACAAGACAGGAACAUUCCACGAGGAAGUGACAUCAUUGUGGACCUGGAAGUUACACUGGAAGAAGUAUAUUCAGGAAACUUUGUGGAAGUUGUUAGAAACAAGCCAGUAGCAAGACAAGCACCUGGCAAGCGGAAAUGCAAUUGUCGGCAGGAGAUGAGGACCACCCAGCUUGGCCCUGGGCGUUUCCAGAUGACUCAAGAAGUUGUCUGUGAUGAGUGUCCCAAUGUCAAGCUUGUGAACGAAGAACGAACAUUGGAGGUGGAGAUAGAGCCAGGUGUGAGGGAUGGCAUGGAGUAUCCUUUCAUUGGAGAAGGUGAACCUCAUGUAGAUGGGGAGCCAGGUGACUUGCGUUUCCGCAUAAAAGUUCUCAAACACCCAGUCUUCGAAAGAAGAGGAGAUGACUUAUAUACAAAUGUGACUAUCUCGCUGGUCGAGGCAUUGGUAGGCUUUGAAAUGGAUAUCGCACAUUUAGAUGGGCACAAGAUAUUUUUGCCUUCCAGGUUCAUGUUGCUCGGGAUAAAAUCACAAAACCUGGGGCCAAGCUGUGGAAGAAAGGAGAAGGUCUUCCAAAUUUUGAUAACAACAACAUCAAAGGCUCACUAAUAAUAACCUUUGAUGUAGAAUUCCCCAAAGAGCAGCUAACAGACGAACAACGGGAAGGUCUGCAACAGUUAUUGAAACAAGGAUCGGUGCAGAAGGUGUACAAUGGACUGCAGGGAUAUUAACAUGGGGACAAACUGGACUUGAUUGAAAAUGAAAAAUGAAACCAGUGAUAUUUAUCUGCAGUCUUUCUUGCUGCCUAUUGUGGAAUGAAGAAGAGGGGGGAGGGUAGAGUAAACAAGUCGUAUUUUUUUGUAAAUGGUGCAAGUGCUCAGAUGGUUUAUGGAAAACAUGGCCCUUUGCAGGAUAUAACUGGUGCUGCCUAUAGAGUUCCUUCCAUGUACUGGAGCAGAGAGGAGGCUCCCUGUGCAGAAAAAUGUUGGGGAGGGGGUUUUAAAUUUAGUGCAUAUUGGAAGUUCUGGUUUUUAAAUAUAUUUUGAUGUUACUUUUUUGACCCUCUCAAAGUAUCUUUGUAGUUUCUUCUGCCUCUUGUGUCCCUCCUGCUAAUCUUCCCUGACUACUUAGUCUCUCUUCUGCCUACCUCUCUCUCCCCAUCCCUGUAUAAUAUAACCUAGUUGGUUAUAUUAUGGAGCAGGAGCUAAUUUAUUCUUAGAAAUGAACUGAAUGAGAGCCUGUAAGAACUACAGGUGACUGCUGUUGCUGCAGAGACCUUGGCCCUGUAUAUCAAUCCUAUCCUAAUUCUCAGAUAAUUCUUAAGCUCUCAGUAUUCACACUUUCUUCAAAUGCUGUAAAGACCAAACUCAAUUUCAAACUGGGAAUGAGCCAUCUUCACCCAUCCUCUGCUGUACAUGACCCUGCAAAAUGGCUCAACAGACUCCUUCUGUGACCAGUAUGGAAACAUUUGCCCACCACCUUGUUCACAAAUGCUUGGCUGGAACAAUUUGUGUAUCUCCUGCCUUUCAUCCUCCAUGAGACCAGGCACAGCUGGUACCACUGAAAUAGUUAAUGAAAGUGUGUGGCAAACUGGUUGUGUAUUAAAACUACAGUGGAGGCAUUUCUCCUGGAAGCAACUGUUUUCUGAAGAAGGCUCAGUUGUAAUGAAAAUAAGCUUGUGCCUCUGAGCUGUAAUCCCACAUGGCAGUUAGUAUUAGCCAAAAGCCUUGCAGCCUCUUUCACCUCUUUCAGAGGAAGAGGUCUCUUUUUCUGGGAAAGGCUUCUCUUUUCCCUUCCUGUGCUCACUGAGGAGGAAGUGGAGGCUCUUUUGACUCGGUUUGGAUGUCUUGGUAGGUCUGCCUUCAUGUACUCUUCAUUGCACUUAGGAAGAAGGAGUUGGAAAAAGCCAUGAGGCAGACCUGAGCACACCCGUGGGAAAGUUUGUUCUGUGGUACUUCAUUACAGGCAUGUAACCAGGGUGCAUGGGUAAGAGAAAUUACAAUGAGUCUUUCCCAUGUGUGGGUAACAACUCUUCUUUCUACUCAGGAGCUAGUGCUGUUUGUCUGACACCAACAGGCUACCAAACUAGUUGGGAUCCGCAAAGAGAGGUCCAGUUAGGCUUUUCUCCUUCCAGUUCCCUUUCAGGUGUGCUGGUUUGGCCUAGCCAGCCACUUCCAUUCAAACAACAUUGCUGAGGGUGUCUAGCUGCUCAUGCCGUCAGCCUGUCAGUUCCAUGGAUGAUCCAAAGGGUUGUGGUUCUGUAUUAAUAUGGUAGUAUCUGAUGCACCACUUUGUUGCACAGCUAUAACACCCAUAUAGUAAGGCUUUAAAGCUGCCCAGUUCAACCUUGCCCUCAACAUGAACAGUCAUCACCAUCUCUUGCUUUGGUAGAGAUGCUUUAAAAAUGAGAAGACAUUGUUCCUACCCCAACUUCAAGGGGCAUGUAAUAUACUGGGGGCUGCAGCAAAGCUGUAGCUCUGUGAAGCUGGCAGCGUGUCUGUGAGGCUGUGUAAACUAGGGGCUGAUGCUGUCAUUUCUGCAGUGUUUGGUUCAAGCCUGUGGUAAGACACCUUUGUGUAUAUGAGACAAAAAUUAAAUAUAGCAAGCCAAGAUGUGAGAGGAAAUGGAAAGGAACAAAUUAUGCAGUUUUAUGCUUCUCCAUUUUUCUUAUCUUGGACAAAAGGCUUUCUGUGAAACUUUUUUUCAAGCCUUAAUAAUUAAAAACAAUCCACAUCCUGUUACUGUUUGGGGGCUGGACUCGAUGAUCUUCCGAGGUCCCUUCUAGCCCUAAUGUCUAUGAAAUACUAUCAGGAAAUCUUCCUGGAGGCUGAAAUUUUCUUCCUCUGGACCAGUGAACAAGCAUUAAAAGGACACCUCAUUUACCCAGAAGCAGCCCCUUUUCAUGAGGAUGUUUGGGGUGGUCCUUCAAGGCUCUCCCAGUGGGAACGAACAGACAGGUUUUGUCCACUAAUAGCUCUGCCUGAGUUGAUGCUAAUGUCCAUUUCUGCACUGAGUCGAUGUCUCUCUAACUGAGACUUUGCCUCAGGAUUUUUCAUUAUUCUGCAAGGAAACCUGUCUCCAUGUGCCAGUUUGCCUUUGUCCCCAGUGUGACUUGCUUUUCAUGAUACUGCAGACCCAUUUCUCGUUCCAGGCAGUGCUCUUUGACGUCUCUCUUUUUUUUUUUUUUUUUUUCUUGCCAGUUCCAUCGUGUCUGCAGUGGUCUGUCCAUGACAAGGUGGAUGCAUGAUGUUCAGCAGUCAGAGACAAGCAGUUGGACAGUGAUUUAUUUCAUUUCCUAUGAGUGUUAACUCGCUGUGUGACAGUGACAUUCUCCAGCACAACCACCAGUUCCAACAGAGCUUGCUGUUAGAUGACCUGUUGAUGGUCCAUCCAUUCAAAUAAGAGUUUUAUUUCAACUGUUUUCUGAGAAGCUCCCUUAGUAUCUCUAAGGAUCUGGCUUGCCCCAUCACUGUUCUGGUUUUAGUCUGGUUGCCUAAGGAAAGAUUUUGUAAGUUGCGUCUCAUUUAGAAAUUUCUCGGGUAUUGACCAGGGGCACUAAUCUAUGUGACCAUGGUGGGAUGUGCAAGCUGUUUCAUACUGCCCUGUGUCUUGUUCUAGUGAAGUUUUACCUUCUGGAGUAUGAAUAUUCGGUAAGCCUCCUGGACUUUCCAGUCCAGUCUACCACAAACCUGGCCUUUUCAAUGGAUUCAAAGGACUUGAUCUUUGCUGGCAAAAGGAGAAAAAUCACAGUGUCUCAGCUAUGGACCUGUUGGAGCUCCUUGUAAAUGGAUUUGGACCUGAUCAAGAGCCCUACUUUGUUGAAGGUUCAAGUCUCAGUUUUGGGAGACUUGUAACAUUUUUUCCCUUUCUUGUUGCCUUCUCAUAUUUCGUAACUCCUGAAAGCUGCUUCACUCCAGAGAUGCUGUCAGGAAACCAGUAGAAAGUGGUACAGAGGGAGAAUCCCUGAAUCUCCUUAUCUCAAAUAUGUGCAGGAGUCUUCCCCAUAUCUUGUUUUCCUGUUAGCAGUUGCAUUGGCCAGAAGUGUUAGCCAGUUCAGGAGCCUUAUCCAGCAGCAAUCCUGUAAGCAUUUUUUUUUUUCCCCUCAGAAGAAGUGAACUUUAGACUUGCACCAAGCCAUCCCUAUUACCUGUUCUCAGGUGGAUACAUUCAGUAGCUGGUCAGGCCUAGGGAUUGUUCGUAACAGCUCUGCUUCCUGUGAGCACUCAUCUAGUGAUGCAGGAUUGGAAUAGACGUCACAUCCAGUCCCCUGAGUUUGCAGGCAGUUGCUCCACUACGUGGUCAUUUUGCAGGCAGAGCUGCACAGUGCUACUUUUGAGUGCCAUGGACCAUUACUCCUCAUCAGUAGGCUUUAGUAGGCUUUAUCUCCCACUUCAUAGCAUGCAUAUGGUUCUGGUUGAUUUUUCUCUCUCUCUCUCUCUCUUGUUUUUUCCUUCAUUAAACCCCUUUGUAUGGUAGAGAAGGAGAAAAAGAAAAGUAAGCAAAGCUGCACUCAAAGCAGAGUUAGUUGUUUCUUGGCCUGGUGCUCUAUUUUAAUUUUCCUUCCUUUUUUGUGGAGGUUGGCUGCAUCCCUGCUGCAAUGGAGUUGGGAGUGGGAGGGAGAACAGGGCUUGUUUCCACGACUGCAUUCUUUCUGUGUGCCAGUGUUGUUUCAUGAGCUCCAGCCCAGGGCCUCAAAGCAAAUUGUGGUAACUUCCAAGCAGAGGUGGAAACCUCCUUCCUUUCUCCCUUCCAGAGUGCUCCUGGGGACGGAGGGAGAUCUAGGAUCCCUUCACAUUGGGCUCUGCGCUUAAUGUAAAUCUGCAUUUUUAUUAUGUAUAAUUCAUGCUGUAGGAGAUCACAGAUGCCUGCUUCCUGCUUUGCACGCCCCACUUGAUCUCCUGCUCUGCUUCCUGCCUUUCCUGCCUUAUCUGCCCCACACAUGCGCACGUGCACUACCCAUGCCAGUUGUGGUAUGUGGACCGCCUCUGUUCCACAGCGAGGUUUUGAAAAGGAACGUGGUUGUCCAAGAUGCAUGGAUUCAGGGAGCAGAUUUGUCAUCUUUUUGGCAAGCAGGGUGAAAGCAAAGGCAGCAGUCCUGUAGGGACUUUGAAUGACAGUUCCACAAUCUAAUAGGAAAUAGUACCCACUUUAAGCCAUGUAUCGAGACGCCAGAGUCGAUAUAGCCUGAAUGGCUGUGAAGCCCACACAGAGCACUGUCUUGUAACUUGCCCAAAUUCGGUCUGAUGUUAAAAGCUAUUUCUGCGUGCAGGCCGCGACCUGCCAGCAGGUCAUGUCCAGUAGCACGGGAAAAGCUGCUGCCGCCUGUGCUUGCGCAGAACAAAGGGGUCAGUGUUUUGUGGCUGAUGAGGACCUGAGUGACCAGGAGGAGGGAGGUGCCAGUGUGGGGGUGAGCUGCUAGCUGCUCAGCACUGAUGUAUGUCUGCUGGGCCAAGCCUUGGCUUCCUGCUCAGAGCUCAACACCACCCUCAACACAGAUAUUGGCCACCAGCCAGCUUCCUUCCUCUCCCCAUCCUGCACUUGUCACUGAAGCUGGCUCUGAGGAAGACCUGCUGAAGGCUGGGAAGCAAGAACACAUUAGUGGCUCAUGCAACUCCCUGCUCCUUAGCAGGGGCCCCUUUGACAUUGCAGUGCAGCAAGGUAUUGCACCCUUGCAGUGCCCUGCCCAUGAGCUGGGCUCCAGGGUGCACUCUGGCCACUGGAGCUGGGAUUGAAGUCUGUCCAGUAGAUUUUUAGGGGUGAUUGUGCAGCAGAAAAGGAUCUAGGCAUUCUAGUGGAUCACAAACAAUAAAAGCCAAUAAGGCAAUCUGUUGCCAGGUGGGCAACUCUUGGGGUGUCAAUAAGAGCGAUGCAUGUAAACUUUAAUUACUCUCCUCUGCUUCACACUGAAGUCUCAGUUGGAGGCCUGUGUCUGGUUCACCAUAUUGAAAGACAUAGACAAAUGAAGAGUCCAGAAGGGAGCAGAAAAGAGACAGAGGGUAGGAAAUGUGACCUAUAAGGGAACAUUAAAAGACUGGGUUGGGUUUUUUUAU